GCAGGGGUACCCAAGCGGCCAAAGGGGCAGGACUUAAGAUCCUGUGGCUUAGUGCCUUCAAGGGUUCAAAUCCCUUCCCCUGCACCA
rnacentral:tRNA from 1 species